AUUGAACGCUGGCGGUAUGCUUAAGACAUGCAAGUCGAACGGUAGCAGGACUAGCUUGCUAGUUGCUGACGAGUGGCGGACGGGUGAGUAACGCGUGGGAAUCUGCCCAGUAGCGGGGGAUAGCCCGGAGAAAUCCGGAUUAAUACCGCAUACGCCCUACGGGGGAAAGGCUUCGGCCACUAUUGGAUGAGCCCGCGUUAGAUUAGCUUGUUGGUGAGGUAAAGGCUCACCAAGGCGACGAUCUAUAGCUGGUCUGAGAGGAUGAUCAGCCACAUCGGGACUGAGACACGGCCCGGACUCCUACGGGAGGCAGCAGUCGGGAAUAUUGGACAAUGGGCGAAAGCCUGAUCCAGCAAUACCGCGUGUGUGAAGAAGGCCUGCGGGUUGUAAAGCACUUUCGCUAGGGAAGAUAAUGACGGUACCUAGAUAAGAAGCACCGGCUAACUCCGUGCCAGCAGCCGCGGUAAUACGGAGGGUGCAAGCGUUAAUCGGAAUUACUGGGCGUAAAGCGCGCGUAGGCGGCUUGUUAAGUCAGAUGUGAAAGCCCCGGGCUCAACCUGGGAACUGCAUCUGAUACUGGCAGGCUAGAGUUUGUGAGAGGGAAGUGGAAUUUCCGGUGUAGCGGUGAAAUGCAUAGAGAUCGGAAGGAACAUCAGUGGCGAAGGCGACUUCCUGGCACAAAACUGACGCUGAGGUGCGAAAGCGUGGGUAGCAAACAGGAUUAGGUACCCUGGUAGUCCACGCCGUAAACGAUGUCAACUAGCCGUUGGGAACAUUUAAGUUUUCAGUGGUGCAGCUAACGCAUUAAGUUGACCGCCUGGGGGAGUACGGUCGCAAGAC
rnacentral:rRNA from 1 species